rnacentral:rRNA from 1 species
AGGACGAACGCUGGCGGCGUGCUUAACACAUGCAAGUCGGGCGGAAAGGCCCUUCGGGGUACUCGAGCGGCGAACGGGUGAGUAACACGUGAGUAAUCUGCCCCUAGCUCUGGGAUAGCUCCGGGAAACCGGGAUUAAUACCGGAUAUGACCACUUUAGACAUCUGUUGUGGUGGAAAGAAUUUCGGCUAGGGAUGAGCUCGCGGCCUAUCAGCUUGUUGGUGGGGUAACGCCUACCAAGGCGACGACGGGUA